rnacentral:tRNA from 9 species
GAUUCACUAGCUCAGUCGGUAGAGCACUUGACUUUUAAUCAAGUUGUCCGGGGUUCGAUUCCCCGGUGGAUCACCA